rfam:Oryza glaberrima chromosome 5 Oglab05_0118_13, whole genome shotgun sequence.
UAUAAAGUUUGAUUUUUCGUCUUAUUUAAAAAUUUUAUAUGAUUAUUAUUAUUAUUUAGUGAUAAAACAUGAAUAAUACUUUAUAAGUGACUAAUUUUAAAUUCUUUUCACAAAUUUUUUUAAUAAGACAGACGGUUAAACGUUGUACACAGAAACCCA